AAUAAAAACAUAAUAUUCAUACGAGUUUAAAGUUUUAACAGUUACCGAUGGUUCAUUAUUAUUCAUUAUAUAAACAUUUAUUUAGAUUUAUCUAAUAGACUAAGGUAAUAAUAAUAAUAUACAAUACUGUUGAAAUUUAACGCCAUGUUAAAUCUUUUACAGACAUAACAAGAAAAAGAUAGUCAAUUAAGUCUAGUUUAGCUUUAACUAAGUUGAGAUUUUUAACUUCCACUGUUUCAAUUGGUAAAUUGUUCCAGAACUUGAAUGUGCGAUUUGUAAAAAAACCCUCACGAUUUCGAUUUAAAUAUUUCUUAUCAGUGAAUAAAUGUUUAUUACCUCGAAUGUUUGAACACAGACCUGAAGAAUUUAAAGAGCACGAAUGUUGAGGGGGUAUUUUUCAAGUUAUUUUCUCUAUAUCAUAAUACCAUUUGUACAUUUGUAUUACAAUAUUUUUAUAGAUGAUAUUAUUUUUAAAAGUUUUAUUAUUAUUAAUAUUCAGAACAAAAAUAUUUUAAAAAAAUUAUUUACAAGUAUUGGAAAAACAUUGUUUUAAUAUGAAUUUUUUUGUUUUACAGUGCAGUCUAUAUCUCAAACAUUAACGAGAAUUGUUUUGUGUCAGUGCUAGAAAUUAAAUGCACACCAGUAAAUUUCAUAAUUAAAAUAUUAUGAAUCCAUUAGCAAAUAAAAUUGUAUCCUCUAAAGAUAUGAAGGUAUUAUUUGCACAAUUGGCAAGCAUUAAAGUGCAACUUGGUGAACUACAAAACACGUCAAAUUUAAUUUUAAAAAAUAAUUAGAAAAAGUAACAAAGAUAUGCCAAUUAGUGAUUUGCCUGACAGAGUGUCAUCGCCACUAAAAGCAGUAAAGAGUUUAAGUACCCUAGAAGAAAAAUUAAAAGACAAGAAAAUACUUAAGCAAAUGGUUAAUUAUUUGAGACAAAUUAGAGUUAAAGAUGAAGGAGAUUGUAUAUGUUAUUUACUAAGAAUAGUUUUUAAAAAUGGCCUAGCUGUAAAAUUAAAUUAUGCAGAAAGAGGACAAAAAAUCGGAAUAGGAAAAUGUUGAUUGUAUAUGUUGCUAUUGAGACUGUGAAGUCAAAUAAGCAUGGCUUAUGCAGACAUGUGAAAGUGAUGGUGAAAGAAAAGAUAAUAGUCGUGGGCAACAAAUAUCAUUAGCUAAACACGAUUCAAUAACAAGUAGCUCAGCCAAUAUCAAGAUUCCUCCAUAAAUUUUAUAGGAAAUUUUUUUUAUUUAAAACCCAAUGUGUUAGUUUUUGGUUUAUGUUUGGUGUUUGCAAUAUGUAUAUUUAACGGAUGUAAAUUAAAUAAAUGAGUUUUUUUACUUGAA